AUUUGAAUUGGAUUAGAGUCAAGUAAUAAUAAGUAUGAUAAUUUCAUCUUUACUUUUGAUUCUAUUUAAUUUGAUUAAAGAAGGUCAACUAUUUGGUCUUUUUAUAAAUAGAUAUUAUGUUUACAUGAAAAUUCAAAAAAAUUUACAUUCCUUUUUACAUUGAUUUUUAAUUCACAAAAAAUAAAAAUAAAAAUUUUACAUUAUGAUAAUAGCACACAUGUUUUACAUUUAAAAAAAAAUCAGCAAAAUUAUAAAAGAAAGGUAUGUCUAGGUGGUGCUCUCAAGAGAGGUUUGCUAGUUUUGUUCGGAUUGAAACACAUAGAAAAAUAGUCUUCCAAAGUUUCAAAACCAUAACAAAAAAAAUUCAAAGAGAAAAACUGAGAAGUUCAAAGAAUACGAGACUUUCCUUAAGUCACUUAGGCCACCCAAAUUCCGGAAAAAAAUACAACACAAAAAAAAACUCAAAUUCAUAAAAACCAUAACUUUUUUUACGGUAAGAAAAAUCCAUGCACUAUUACAACAGAAACACAAAUUGAAUCAUUGGCACAAGUUUGAACAAAGAAGAGCACGAAAUCAGAGGGAAGAAGGGGAUGAUCCGAAAUUGACAAUAAAGAUUUCAAAUUUAUUUUUUCCCUACCUGAGCAUCUAGAUAGUUCCUUUGCUUCUCUUAGAUCAUAUUCGUGUCAACUUUGAUUCUUUGCAUAUUGUUGUUCCGCCUUGAUUUUUUAGAUUUUCGCUCCCUCACAUAGGCUUCUUAGGUCGUGUUUGAACAUAAAAUGGGGGAUUUAUUUCUUUUGAAACUCGAUUUCAGUUUGGCUUGACUAUUUUCAUAGGUUUGGUUUAGUGAUCAUCCAUGGAGUUUUGUUUUUUUUUAAUGACCGAUUUUGCAGGAAAAAAAAUGGAACGGUUGAGUUUGAAGAAGGAGGAUCGUGUUUUUUCUCUGAAAGACAAAACGACCGUGUAAUAUCUUAGGGUUUUCCUCCCUUCUCAUAAUGCAUAGCUGAACUAGUUUAUGGGGGGAUCCGACCCGCCCCUCAUGGACCCAGCCCCAGUGGGCUCCUUUUUCGUGGGCUUCAAAAGCCUAUUUACUUUUCAUCUCAAUUGAUAUUGAAAUCCCUAGACCCUUUCGGUUUUUUUAUUUGGUUAAUUUUAGUA
rnacentral:lncRNA from 1 species